ensembl:lncRNA
CACCCUCCCCUCACCCUACCGUUUAAAACCUUUCCCUGAAAACCACUGAGUAAUUCAGGUCUUUUGGGCACUAGCUACAUGAACUUCUCGCCUGGCCUCUGCAGUGCACACGGAACUUUAUUUCAGUGCAACCUGGUGUCAGUAGAUUGCCCUUAUUGCCUACGGGCCAGGGGACCCAAGUUUGAUUCAGUAACAGUAACUGCAUAUUGUAGGACAAAGCAAAUGGGUAAAUUAUAGUGGAAUUACUGAGAAGAUGAUGCUUCAGCAUGAGAGAAAGAUGAAGGACUCUCCAUUCACUGAAAGAGAAACCAAUUCAGUACCAACAGUCCCCUCUAAUAUCAAGAUUGUGGCCUUUCAGUUCAGUUGCUCAGUCGUGUCUGACUCUUUGCGACCCCAUGGACUGCACCAUGCCAGGCUUCCCUGUCCAUCAAAAGUGUGUGUGUUAAUUGCUUAGUUGUGUCCGACUCUUUGCAACUCCAAGGACUGUAGCCUACCAGAAUCCUCCAUCCAUGGAAUUUUCCAGGUUUACAGGAACAUAGCAUCCAUACGUACUCAAAGAGCUGUAAGAACAAAGGAUUACAACACCAAGAAGCUUGCAACAAUGAGCCACAUCCCCUCCCUUUUUAAUAGAAGUCUAAAUUCCAACUUUGCUAUUAAGCUCCACAAAGCAACACAAAGAAAGAUGCAGAAUUAGUGAUCCCAGAGUGACCACGUUUCCAGCCCCUGCAAAGCUGGCUUGCUGAUGAUUGAAUGGCCUGCAGCCCAAGCCCCAUGUGGCAUACCUCGGUACCAGAAGCAGACAUCCUGCAGCAUCGUUUAAACUCUCUGCCCUGCUCCUUCUCCAAUGUGUCUGUUGCAGAAGUCAGGAGAGGGACAUUACAGACAGCUUCAACAGGGGGAGCAAGUGAGGACAGAAAGUGUUUCCUGAGCUCAGGGGACCCUCAGCUGAGAGGAUAGAAGAGCAGUAGUCCCUCUGGUACAGCUUGAGAUUCGGGGCAGCUAACUUGGCUGAUUCUCUUUUUGGCCACAUCUUUAUUCUCCCCUUUAAAUAAAUGGCCUUACAG